AGUUUUUAUUGUGCGGACGCUGAGAGCCAUUGAAACAAACUGUAAACCCUGUAUGUGAUGGAAAUCGCUUCAAGCCAGGGGGCACAGCAGCACCCCUAGUUCCAGCACCUCUGUAAAAGUUUAACAAAUGGAGCGGGGGCUAGCCUUUGCUCUAGCCUUUGAAGUUUGGUCUGUAGUGUUUUACACCCAUUUGCACAUGACUCUACAGGGUGGAAAACAGAACAGAAUUGGGCCCAUUAAUUUCCUCCUUAUUGUUAAUGAAUGGACCUACAUUCUCUCCAGUGUGACCCCCCCCCCCCGGAUAAGUUUGUAAGAGGCCUUGUUAUUCCUCUUAACCCUUUGAGUUAACAUUAGCUCAUCCUGCCAUGUUUGGGUGCCCUUAUCUUUCUCUCCCUGCAUCUCUUAGUUGAUUUUGUGGUGGCUUCCAACUUCCCUAUUAUUUAGAUGCUGCAGGUAAGAGCUUGACGGCCCCAUUGUGCUGGGCCUGGCACAACCACAGAGUGCAAGACAGCCCCUGCCCUGAAGAGCUUACAAACCAAACUUCCCCAUAAAGGGGGAGAGAUGGGAAGUACUAUUAUCCCCGUUUUACAAACGGGAAACGGAGUCACAGAGCGAUCGCAUGCCUGUGUGUGACAGCUUCCAUCGGGGCCAACGUGCCAGAGACUGGCAAGUGUGAGUCUUCCCAACCUGUGCUGCCGAGCCAGGCCCUGGAGCUGGGAGCUAUAAGCGGCUCCCAUCCUCCAUGGAUCAGGCACAGAGGGGGACAAACGACACAUGGUAACCCUGGGGUUACACUGGAAGGUGUGACAGAGCCAGGAUUCAGAUCUCCCGAGUCCCAGUCUAGAGCCUUCACCGUGAGACCGUCCCCAGGACUGGCUCUGAGCUCUGAGGUUAAAGAUGGAAGGUAGUCCUAUUCAUUGACUCCUGCACCUUCUUUGUGUGCACUCCUUGAUGAUCGCAGCAUAGACCAGACCAGGCCUAAUGCAGUGCCUUUUGCAAAGGCCCAGCUCAGAGUGGCCUCGGGCAGUUUUCCUUGGCUCUGUGUCUUAUGCUUUUGUACCAUGAAUUUUGUGCAUCUGGGAGCAAGGGAAUCCUGUGACACAGGAAUUUUGCUCAGACCUUCGCCUCUUUUUCCCAAGAACAUGUCUCUUUGUUGCAGUGUUCCCUUUAGGCACCCGUUAUGCUCUCUUCCCCGUACAUCCCUGCGCUUUGGGGACGGAAGCCAGCGCUCCCCGUCUCAUGAACUCCCAGCUGGCUCAUGUUGCACAUCUGCAUUCAGUCUUGUUUGGAGGUGUUAGCCCAGAGCGGGCAUCCCGCCGAGUUUCCAGGUGUGAAAAAACACAGGAGUUGCAGUUUUUCAGCAGUGAUUCAGCUGCGUUUUUAAAGAAAACAACUCCCCUCGACUGCAGCAGGAAAUCACUGUUUGGAUUUAUGAGGUACCUUUUCCUGACCAUCCUCUCUGAAAAAGCCUUUGCUAGAUUGACAUGACUGCUCCAUUCCUGACUCCUGCUGGGAGAAUCUGGACAACGGGAGCUUGGAGAAUAAGGUGUAGUCCAGUGGUUCUCAACCAGGGGCACACGUACCGCUGGGGAUACGCAGAGGUCUUCCAGCGGGUACAUCAACUCAUCUGGAUAUUUGCCUAGUUUUACAACAGACUACAUAAAAAGCACUAG